GCCGCUGUGGUGGAAUUGGCAGACACAAGGGACUUAAAAUCCCUCGAAAGCGAUUUCGUACCGGUUCGACCCCGGUCAGCGGCACCA
rnacentral:tRNA from 1 species